AAGUCGUAACAAGGUUUCCGUAGGUGAACCUGCGGAAGGAUCAUUAACACAAGUAAAAAAACAUUUUUACAACACCCUAUUAUGAAUUUAAAUUUUUUAAUUUUAAUUUUAAUUUUUUUAUAAAACUACAAAAAAAAUAUUUAAUUUAUUUGACUAACAUUUUUUAAUUAAUUUAUUUAAAAUUUUAUAAAACAACUCUUAACAACGGAUAUCUUGGCUCUC
rnacentral:misc_RNA from 1 species